GUUAUAUGGUCAAGCGAAUAAGCGCACACGGUGGAUGCCUAGGCGGUCAGAGGCGAUGAAGGACGUGGUAGCCUGCGAAAAGUGUCGGGGAGCUGGCAACAAGCUUUGAUCCGGCAAUAUCCGAAUGGGGAAACCCACUGCUUCGGCAGUAUCCUGCAGUGAAUUCAUAGCUGCUGGAAGCGAACCCGGUGAACUGAAAUAUCUAAGUAACCGGAGGAAAAGAAAUCAACCGAGAUUCCCUAAGUAGUGACGAGCGAACGGGGAGCAGCCCUUAAGCUGGAAUGGCUUUAGAAAAACAAUCUGGAAAGAUUGGCCAUAGAAGGUGAUAGCCCUGUAUUUAAAAGGGCCACUCCAGUGAAGACGAGUAGGGCGGGGCACGUGAAACCCUGUCUGAAUAUGGGGGGACCAUCCUCCAAGGCUAAAUACUCCUGACCGACCGAUAGUGAACCAGUACCGUGAGGGAAAGGCGAAAAGAACCCCGGAGAGGGGAGUGAAAUAGAUCCUGAAACCGUGUGCGUACAAGCAGUAGGAGCUCGCAAGAGUGACUGCGUACCUUUUGUAUAAUGGGUCAGCGACUUACUGUUCGUGGCAAGCUUAACCGUAUAGGGGAGGCGAAGGGAAACCGAGUCUGACAAGGGCGCAUAGUCGCGGGCAGUAGACCCGAAACCGGGUGAUCUAGUCAUGGCCAGGGUGAAGGUGCCGUAACAGGUACUGGAGGCCCGAACCCACGUCUGUUGCAAAAGACGGGGAUGAGCUGUGAUUAGGAGUGAAAAGCUAAUCGAACCCGGAGAUAGCUGGUUCUCCUCGAAAGCUAUUUAGGUAGCGCCUCAUAUGUAUCCUCUCGGGGGUAGAGCACUGUUAUGGCUAGGGGGUCAUCGCGACUUACCAAACCAUUGCAAACUCCGAAUACCGAGACGGACUGUAUGGGAGACACACGGCGGGUGCUAACAUCCGUCGUGAAAAGGGAAACAACCCAGACCCACAGCUAAGGUCCCAAAUUCACUGCUAAGUGGAAAACGAUGUGGAAAGGCAUAGACAGCCAGGAGGUUGGCUUAGAAGCAGCCACCCUUUAAAGAAAGCGUAAUAGCUCACUGGUCGAGUCGGUCUGCGCGGAAGAUUUAACGGGGCUAAGCAGUGAACCGAAGCUUGGGGUGCAUAAAACUUGUUUUAUGCGCGGUAGAGGAGCGUUCCGUAAGCCUGCGAAGGUGGAUUGAGAAGUCUGCUGGAGGUAUCGGAAGUGCGAAUGCUGACAUGAGUAACGAUAAUGCGGGUGAAAAGCCCGCACGCCGAAAGCCCAAGGUUUCCUUGCGCAACGUUAAUCGACGCAGGGUUAGUCGGUCCCUAAGGCGAGGGCGAAAGCCGUAGUCGAUGGGAAGCAGGUUAAUAUUCCUGCACCUCGCGUGAGUGCGAUGGAGGGACGGAGAAGGUUAGGUGUACCGGGCGUUGGUUGUCCCGGGGAAAGGCGGUAGGUUUGGAUCUUUGGCAAAUCCGGGAUCCUUUAAGACCGAGCACCGAGACGAGCCUUUAUGGCGAAGUCACUGAUACCACGCUUCCAGGAAAAGCUCCUAAGCUUCAGCUCACGAAGACCGUACCGUAAACCGACACAGGUGGGUAGGAUGAGAAUUCUCAGGCGCUUGAGAGAACUCGGGUGAAGGAACUAGGCAACAUGGCACCGUAACUUCGGGAGAAGGUGCACCCUUUUUGGUGGCUCGUGCGAGCUAUAGCUGAAGAGGGUCGCAGAAACCAGGCCGCUGCGACUGUUUAUCAAAAACACAGCACUCUGCAAACACGAAAGUGGACGUAUAGGGUGUGACGCCUGCCCGGUGCUGGAAGGUUAAUUGAUGGGGUCAGCCGCAAGGCGAAGCUCUUGAUCGAAGCCCCAGUAAACGGCGGCCGUAACUAUAACGGUCCUAAGGUAGCGAAAUUCCUUGUCGGGUAAGUUCCGACCUGCACGAAUGGCGUAACGACAGCGGCGCUGUCUCCACCCGAGACUCAGUGAAAUUGAAAUCGCUGUGAAGAUGCAGCGUUCCCGUGGCAAGACGGAAAGACCCCGUGAACCUUUACUAUAGCUUUACACUGAACGUUGAGUUCGUCUGUGUAGGAUAGGUGGGAGGCUAUGAAACUGUGGCGCUAGCUGCAGUGGAGCCAUCCUUGAAAUACCACCCUGUCGUGCUUGACGUUCUAACCUAGGUCCGUUAUCCGGAUCAGGGACCGUGUAUGGUGGGUAGUUUGACUGGGGCGGUCUCCUCCUAAAGAGUAACGGAGGAGCACGAAGGUACGCUCAGCGCGGUCGGACAUCGCGCACUGUGUGCAAAGGCAUAAGCGUGCUUGACUGCAAGAUCGACGGAUCAAGCAGGUACGAAAGUAGGUCUUAGUGAUCCGGUGGUUCUGUAUGGAAGGGCCAUCGCUCAACGGAUAAAAGGUACUCCGGGGAUAACAGGCUGAUACCGCCCAAGAGUUCAUAUCGACGGCGGUGUUUGGCACCUCGAUGUCGGCUCAUCACAUCCUGGGGCUGUAGUCGGUCCCAAGGGUAUGGCUGUUCGCCAUUUAAAGUGGUACGCGAGCUGGGUUCAGAACGUCGUGAGACAGUUCGGUCCCUAUCUGCCAUGGGCGUUGGAAGUUUGAGAGGGGCUACUCCUAGUACGAGAGGACCGGAGUGGACGAACCUCUGGUGUUCCGGUUGUCACGCCAGUGGCAUUGCCGGGUAGCUAUGUUCGGAAGCGAUAACCGCUGAAAGCAUCUAAGCGGGAAGCGCGCCUCAAGAUGAGACUUCCCGGGGCACAAGCCCCCUAAAGGAACCAUGUAGACUACGUGGUUGAUAGGUCAGGUGUGUAAGUACAGCAAUGUAUUGAGCUAACUGAUACUAAUGAUCCGUGCGGCUUGACCAUAUAACCU
rnacentral:rRNA from 1 species